GAUGAACGCUGGCGGCGUGCUUAACACAUGCAAGUCGAACGGAAAGGCUCCUGCUUGCCGGGGUACUCGAGUGGCGAACGGGUGAGUAACACGUGGGUGAUCUGCCCUGCACUUCGGGAUAAGCCUGGGAAACUGGGUCUAAUACCGGAUAGGACGAUGGUUUGGAUGCCAUUGUGGAAAGUUUUUCGGUGUGGGAUGAGCUCGCGGCCUAUCAGCUUGUUGGUGGGGUAAUGGCCUACCAAGGCGUCGACGGGUAGCCGGCCUGAGAGGGUGUACGGCCACAUUGGGACUGAGAUACGGCCCAGACUCCUACGGGAGGCAGCAGUGGGGAAUAUUGCACAAUGGGCGCAAGCCUGAUGCAGCGACGCCGCGUGGGGGAUGACGGCCUUCGGCUUGUAAACUCCUUUCGCUAGGGACGAAGCGCAAGUGACGGUACCUGGAGAAGAAGCACCGGCUAACUACGUG
rnacentral:rRNA from 1 species